rnacentral:rRNA from 1 species
UACGUAGGGGGCUAGCGUUGUCCGGAAUCAUUGGGCGUAAAGAGCGUGUAGGCGGCUCAGUAAGUCCGCUGUGAAAGUCCAGGGCUCAACCCUGGAAUGCCAGUGGAAACUGUUGAGCUAGAGUCCGGAAGAGGCGAGUGGAAUUCCUGGUGUAGCGGUGAAAUGCGCAGAUAUCAGGAGGAACACCGGUGGCGAAGGCGGUUCUCUGGGCCUGUACUGACGCUGAGGAGCGAAAGCGUGGGGAGCGAACAGG